UUGAUUUUAGUUAUUUGUGAACGUACUACGAACAAACACAAAAAUAUUAUAGUCAAAAAAAAAUUAAAUCA
rnacentral:misc_RNA from 1 species